rnacentral:rRNA from 1 species
AACGAACGCUGGCGGCAUGCCUAACACAUGCAAGUCGAACGAGACCUUCGGGUCCAGUGUCGCACGGGUGCGUAACGCGUGGGAACCUGCCCUUAGGGUCGGAAUAACUCCCCGAAAGGGGUGCUAAUACCGGAUAAUGUCUUCUGACCAAAGAUUUAUCGCCUUUGGAUGGUCCCGCGUUGGAUUAGCUAUUUGGUAGGGUAAAAGCCUACCAAGGCGACGAUCCAUAGCUGGUCUGAGAGGAUGAUCAGCCACACUGCGACUGAGACACGGCCCAGACUCCUCCGGGAGGCAGCAGUGGGGAAUAUUGGACAAUGGGCGAAAGCCUGAUCCAGCACUGCCGCGUGAGUGAUGAAGGCCUUAGGGUUGUAAAGCUCUUUUACCCGGGAUGAUAAUGACAGUACCGGGAGAAUAAGCUCCGGCUAACUCCGUG